CCGGAACCCGCGCCGGCCUGCAAGCGCCGCGCGCCUCUCCCUCCACACCUCCCCGCGAGCAGAGGGAGCCGGCUCCGACCUCGACCAGCCCCAGAGAGGAGCCCCCACAGUGCAGCGGCAGGCUGAAGGGCUCCUCAAGCGCGGCCAGAGCGGACGCCGAGGCCGAGGAGGCACCGAGAGCGAGGGCUGCUGGCACGUUGUCACCUCUCAAAGGCCCCGCUGUGUAAUUACGUCUGGAAUUGGUGGGUUCUUGGUCUCACCGACUUCAAGAAUGAAGCCGUGGAUCCUCGUGGUGAGUGUUACAGCUCUUAAGGUGACGCACCUGGAGUUUGUUCCUUCUGAUGUUCAGAUGUGUUUGGAGUUUCUUCCUUCUGGUGGGUUCGUGGUCUCGUUGGCUCAGGAGUGAAGUUGCAGACCUUGGCGGUGAGUGUUAGAGCUCUUAAGGUAGUGCAUCUGGAGUUGUUCAUUCCUCCCGGUGGGCUUGUGGGCUCUCUAGCUUCAGGAGUGAAGCUGCAGAUCUUCGCAGUGAGUGUUACAGCUCAUGAAAGCAGUGUGGAGUCAAAGAGUGAGCAGUAGCAAGAUUUAUUGCAAAGAGCGAAAGAACAAAGCUUCCACAGGGUGGAAGGG
rnacentral:lncRNA from 10 species